UGUGCCUACGGGACGCAGCAGUGGGGAAUAUUGGGCAAUGGGCGCAAGCCUGACCCAGCAAUGCCGCGUGAAGGAAGAAGGCCCUCGGGUUGUAAACUUCUUUUAUCAGGGACGAAGGAUGUGACGGUACCUGAUGAAUAAGCUCCGGCUAACUACGUGCCAGCAGCCGCGGUAAUACGUAGGGAGCAAGCGUUAUCCGGAUUUACUGGGUGUAAAGGGCGCGUAGGCGGGAUUGCAAGUCAGAUGUGAAAACCACGGGCUCAACCUGUGGCCUGCCUUUGAAACUGUAGUUCUUGAGUGCUGGG
rnacentral:rRNA from 1 species